CAGCAGUCCCGCAGCAAUGCGGGAGCUGGCGACCGGCAAACGGGUGCGGAACACGUACACAACCUUCCUUAAAGUGGGGGAUAGCCCGGGGAAACCCGGAUUAAUACCCCGUAACAUAGUGAAGUGGCAUCGCUUUAUUAUUAUAGCAGCAAUGCGCUUAAAGAUGGGUGUGCGCCUGAUUAGGCAGUUGGCGGGGUAACGGCCCACCAAACCUACGAUCAGUAACUGGUGUGAGAGCACGACCAGUCACACGGGCACUGAGACACGGGCCCGACUCCUACGGGAGGCAGCAGUAAGGAAUAUUGGUCAAUGGACGCAAGUCUGAACCAGCCAUGCCGCGUGGAGGAUGAAGGUCCUCUGGAUUGUAAACUUCUUUUAUCUGGGAAGAAAUCCACAAAUUCUUUUGUGGUUGACGGUACCAGGUGAAUAAGCACCGGCUAACUCCGUGCCAGCAGCCGCGGUAAUACGGAGGGUGCAAGCGUUAUCCGGAUUCACUGGGUUUAAAGGGUGCGUAGGUGGGUUGGUAAGUCAGUGGUGAAAUCUCCAGGCUUAACUUGGAAACUGCCAUUGAUACUAUCAAUCUUGAAUACCGUGGAGGUCAGCGGAAUAUGUCAUGUAGCGGUGAAAUGCUUAGAUAUGACAUAGAACACCAACUGCGAAGGCAGCUGGCUACGCGGAUAUUGACACUGAUGCACGAAAGCGUGGGGAUCAAACAGGAUUAGAUACCCUGGUAGUCCACGCCCUAAACGAUGGAUACUCGACAUACGCGAUAUACUGUGUGUGUCUGAGCGAAAGCAUUAAGUAUCCCACCUGGG
rnacentral:rRNA from 1 species